rnacentral:rRNA from 1 species
GAGUUUGAUCMUGGCUCAGGAUGAACGCUAGCGGCAGGCUUAAUACAUGCAAGUCGAGGGGCAGCAGCUUUAUAGCAAUAUAGAGGCUGGCGACCGGCAAACGGGUGCGGAACACGUACACAACCUUCCUUGAAUAGGGGGAUAGCCCAUAGAAAUGUGGAUUAAUACCCCGUAAUAUAGCGGUGUGGCAUCACACUGUUAUUAUAGUUUCGGCGAUUCGAGAUGGGUGUGCGGCUGAUUAGGUAGUUGGCGGGGUAAAGGCCCACCAAGCCUUCGAUCAGUAGCUGAUGUGAGAGCAUGAUCAGCCACACGGGCACUGAGACACGGGCCCGACUCCUACGGGAGGCAGCAGUAAGGAAUAUUGGUCAAUGGACGCAAGUYUGAACCAGCCAUGCCGCGUGAAGGAUGAAGGUCCUCUGGAUUGUAAACUUCUUUUAUAGGGGGCGAAAAAAGGUCUUCUAGAUCACUGACAGUACCCU